UCCGAGUUGACCCCGGCAGUCUCCUAUGAGUCCCCACCAUCACGUGCCGGCAACAUAGGACGAGGGUUGCGCUCGUUGCGGGACUUAACCCAACAUCUCACGACACGGGCUGACGACAACCAUGCACCACCUGUAAACCAGCCCCAAAGGGGAAACCACAUUUCUGCGGCGGUCCGGUCCAUGUCAAGCCUUGGUAAGGUUCUUCGCGUUGCAUCGAAUUAAUCCGCAUGCUCCGCCGCUUGUGCGGGCCCCCGUCAAUUCCUUUGAGUUUUAGCCUUGCGGCCGUACUCCCCAGGCGGGGCGCUUAAUGCGUUAGCUACGACACGGAAACCGUGGAAAGGUCCCCACAUCUAGCGCCCAACGUUUACGGCAUGGACUAC
rnacentral:misc_RNA from 1 species